rnacentral:lncRNA from 1 species
GCAGACCUGCUGUUAGAGAAGAUAGCAUGGGAGCAAUCCAUUUGUUCCUGACCCUGGGGACUCUUAAGACAGACUGAGUUCUCUCACAUCCGGGCAACCACCAACUUGUGCUGGUGAUUGAUUAAGCCUUUGGGUAUUGUAUACAUCAACCAGUUGCAGCAGGCAAGGGAUGGAGAAAUGAGGCCUCUGGGAAUGAAAGUGUGGAGUCAGCUUUGGGCAAAUGGAAAUUGAAUGGAAGGAGCAUCUCAGGAAGAAGGCUAAGAAGGCAAAACAGAGCUUGCAUUGCAGGAGGCAGACUUCAGACCAGGCUUAGGGUGAGGGAACAAAGACGUCUCAGUGCCCCGGCUGAGAAAUUGGACAAGAAAGACGGGACCCGUGCUCCCCUACAGGAGGUGGGCUGAGGGCAGAGCUGUUUGCCUGGCAGAGGAGGAGCAAACAGCCAUGUUGUAAAUGGCCUCUGAGGAGGACUGGCCUCUAGGAGUUGAGGACCUCAAGCCUACAUCUGCAAGGAAUUGAACGAUGCCAAGAACCCGAACAAACUCUGAAGAUGAGAAUGCGGCCCUGUGCCAA